rnacentral:tRNA from 2 species
ACCGAUAUAGUGAAAUGGAUUAUCACAAUAGACUACGAAUCUAUUAUUCCAAGUUCGAAUCUUGGUAUCGGUG